UUCUCCCUUAUUUCCUUCUCAUCUCCUUUGCUUCAUCCUCUCUUGAAUGAGACAAUCCCCACAUGAAUCCCUCCAUCCUAAUCCUUGGAAGAAACUCCGUUGGUGCUCUCUCCUUCUCCUUAGGGCUUGGCGAGGUUGUGAAAGCUCGGCUCGACGCAAGGAGCCGCCGGAGGAGUAGCACCCCUUUUAGGGAAGUCUGGACUCCUAAGUCUGAUUUGGAGAUAAAAAGUGAACCUUCAUCUUGAAAAUAGCUUCAUGUUUUUAUUGAAAUUUGAUGGUGAUAGCAGGGUACGGCCUGCGGGCGCUAGCCCAAAUUUGCGAAUAGGGUCCGGUACUACAGUGCAGGAGUCUCCUCGGUCCAAUUUUUAGAGAGAUGGUAGGGUUGACCCUGGGUUUUUCCAUACAAAAGGUGUUGUAGAGCUCUUGAUUGGUGUGAUGUUGAGAUAUUCGGGGUCACCGCCAGGGUUGAUCAGAAGCCAACGGCAAGGGAUUUUCUUAUUUGGUUUUCAAAUCCUCGGCGGACCCAAUAUUGGUUGAGGCCUCAA